AUGGCGACCGGCGCACGGGUGAGUAACGCGUAUGCAACCUGCCCGAUACCGGGGUAUAGCCCAUGGAAACGUGGAUUAACACCCCAUAGUACUUUUAUCCUGCCUGGGAUGGAGUUAAAUGUUCAAGGUAUCGGAUGGGCAUGCGUCCUAUUAGUUAGUUGGCGGGUAACAGCCACCAAGACGAUGAUAGGUAGGGGUUCUGAGAGGAAGGUCCCCCACAUUGGAACUGAGACACGGUCCAA
rnacentral:rRNA from 1 species